AGUAUGGAGGGGCAGCUAGCUGGCAGCCACUGGUUUCUCAUCUCUCCCUCUGCCAAGCCUUCUAGGACCCCAGGACCCAGCAUUUCAAGAACAAAGGUGAAGGACCUUUCCAUCGUGGAGACCCUAACUCGGAAGAACCCAGGAAUUACAGCUUUGGUCUUUCAUAUUCUCUUGGCUUUGUCUAGGGUGUCUUUUCUUGAUCAUUCCCAGACUGCUUCAAGUCUCUAAAGUCCCUUCUUGGGGACCCAGUCAGGCACAGGCCUUGGAGUCUCCAACAGGCUCCAGUCAAAGCUUUGCCCUCUCAACCAGGAUCCCCCACUAGUGAGGGGCUGUAUCUUUAACAUCUGUGUUCCAUUCUAGCAUGCAGGCACACAGCAUUUCUCAGAGGAUGCUGCCAUUGUGUGGUUACCAUGACUCCCAAGUUUCUUUAAAUAAAGCCUGUAUCCAUCCUAGGGUUUUGUUAUCCACCUCUGAGUGAGCAUGGUACCCUCUGUGGCUCAAACUUGGGCUAUCUAACCCUUUAUCACUCCCAUCUUGUUUUUCAGUUUUCCCUCUUAAGCCUCCUCUCCACUUUUGGACCAGCCAGAGAGCUCAAUCGAUGUUGUGGAGGAGAGAGAGAAUUCUCUGGGCAAGUGGUCCUGGGAUGCUCAAGAAAGCUGGCUGAGCAUAAGCCACCGACUGAGCCAGCGAACACUCUUCCUCCUCGGAUUCUACCGGGUUGGCACACAGCUACUACAGAUCCUCAAGCUGGAGCUCACUGUGGCCUAAGCCUGCUUUCUGCCUCUGAGUAGGAGGGGCUUUGUCCUGUCUCUUACUUGAAGAGGAGGGAAGAGUCCAGGCAGGUCUGGGCCAUGACAGAGACUGUGCUCAGAAAUGGCCACAAAGACGGUUGGGAGCUUAACUAGUUGCAUGAGGCUCUGUGCUUUGUCCCAGCUCUGGAGCGGUGAAGGCAUCACAAAGAAUCCUGCAAUACCAUGAUGCCCACCUAUUCCAGGAAGAAUCUGCACGGGACAGAGUCCUCCUGGAAAUUUGUGAGCAACUUAGUUGAUUUUUCUGAGCAAUCCAGUAAGCCACACGCCGGGAGGAUAAUGUGAACGGUGUCACCAUUUGGCGUCUUUGAGUUAUAAGAUCACAGGUGUGCUUCUUUGGCCUUUAAAGAAAUUAAAUUCUGUGUGCUAUUCAAGUUCUCUACCGUGGCCAUUUAUUUGGGGGAAGAGUCAAAGGAAAAUAAAACUACCGGAUCAAAAUUCCCAAGUGACACGUGUGAAAACACACUAAAACAAACUUUCUAAUACAAGCAGUUUUCCAUUUAUUUCGCUGUCUCAUUUUUAGGGGUGUUGGGGGGUGGACACAUAUGACCGGCUGUCCCUCAGUCCAGACAAUUGCCUC
rnacentral:sRNA from 1 species